rnacentral:rRNA from 1 species
CGGGGGAGCAAGCGUUGUUCGGAUUUACUGGGCGUAAAGGGACGCGUAGGCGGCGCAACAAGUCACUUGUGAAAUCUCCUGGCUCAACUAGGAGCGGCCAAGUGAUACUGUCGUGCUAGAGUGCGGAAGGGGCUACUGGAAUUCUCGGUGUAGCGGUGAAAUGCGUAGAUAUCGAGAGGAACACCUGCGGCGAAGGCGGGUAGCUGGGCCGACACUGACGCUGAGGCGCGAAAGCCAGGGGAGCGAACGGGAUUAGAUACCCCGGUAGUCCUGGCCUUAAACGAUGGAUACUUGGUGUCCGGGGUUACAUAGUCCCCGGGUGCCGGCGCUAACGCAUUAAGUAUCCCGCCUGGGGAGUACGGUCGCAAGACUG